rnacentral:rRNA from 1 species
GAUGAACGCUAGCGGCAGGCCUAAUACAUGCAAGUCGAACGGUGCCUUCGGACAUAGUGGCGCACGGGUGCGUAACACGUAUGCAACCUACCUUACAUUGGGGGAUAGCCUUUCGAAAGGGAGAUUAAUACCGCAUAAGACAGUAGCUGGGCAUCCAGCAGCUGUUAAAGAUUUAUCGAUGUAAGCUGGGCAUGCGUCCAAUUAGCUAGUUGGUGAGGUAACGGCUCACCAAGGCGAUGAUUGGUAGGGGAACUGAGAGGUCAAUCCCCCACACUGGCACUGAGAUACGGGCCAGACUCCUACGGGAGGCAGCAGUAGGGAAUAUUGGGCAAUGGACGCAAGUCUGACCCAGCCAUGCCGCGUGCAGGAUGAAGGCGUUAUGCGUUGUAAACUGCUUUUAUACAGGAAGAAACGACUCUUGCGAGAGGCAUUGACGGUACUGUAUGAAUAAGCACCGGCUAACUCCGUGCCAGCCGCCGCGGUAACAC